AAGGUAUGCAACCAUCAAAAUUUCUUAAUAAGAUGGUUUAUGAUAUUAGAGAAUGAAUCAAUUACUCAACUAUUCUCAAUUAAAUCAUAUUAGACUAUUCUUUUACGAACGGUCAACCUAUCAUAACCCUCAGCCGGCUCCAGCAGUUCACCAAGCAUCACAGCUAUCUCGAUCAGUUCACUCGACAUCAAAUUUGGCUUCGACAGAUCAGGACUCACCACAACCAUCUCUGUCAGUUCACUCGACAUCACAUUUGGCUUCGACAGAUCAGGACUCAACACAGCCGACUCCGAUAGUUCAGGCCGCAUCCAAAAAGUGUUCUAGGUCGCAUUGGAUUGUAGACGCAAUAGUGAUGCGGCUAGUGGAUUCAUUUUUUUUCAAAUGGAUGCAAGAAGAUCAUACGGUGAUAGUAAUCCUAGUGACAACCGUUGAUUUCAUUGUAUUGUUUGGUAGGAACGGAUGUUAGAGCAGUCUAUAGUGAAUGUAUUGUGUUUAAAUUUAGUUUUUGAGUGAUCUGAUAAUGCUACUUAAAUUUUUAGUUUAAAAAACUAAUGGUACUUUAUGAUAACAUUUGUGAUUUUACGAUAUGUUAUUGAUAUCUCUUAAAGUUUUAA